GCUGUGGUAUCGUUUCCGGUGUUUGUGUUUUUGUUCUCCCAGCUUCCUAUCGCUUUUGAGGAGUGAUCUUCUUUCAAAUUAACUUAGCUCUACCGUUGCAGGAGGGUAGACUACGAAAUUGAUUGAUGUAAAAAAUGACCAAGAAUUCUUUGUCACUUCCCUGGUUGGAUAAGCCUGCAGAAGUCCCCCAGCCAUGUUCUCACCGGACUCUGAAGCUCGUCAUUGGCCCGUGGUGCUGGCCAGCUUCCUCACUGUUGGUUUGACGUUUGGAUUGGGCAGUUCGCUUGGUGUCUUCUACAUAGAGUGGUUCCGUGAGUUCCCACACAGUGCUGCCUUGGUCGGCUGGCUGUCGUCUUCCGUCUUUACGCUGCUGUAUUUAUUUUCAUGCAUCGCUGGAGCACUGGUGAAGUACUUCGGAGUUCGGCGAGUGGCAGUGGCUGGAGCAUCGUUAUCGUUCACGGGGCUUGUCAUCGCGUCUUUUGGUCGGGAAUUCUACGUGCUGUUCAUCACCAUACCAU